GUACCAGACUCCUACGGGAGGCAGCAGUGGGGAAUAUUGCACAAUGGGGGAAACCCUGAUGCAGCGACGCCGCGUGAGUGAAGAAGUAAUUCGUUAUGUAAAGCUCUAUCAGCAGGGAAGAAAAUGACGGUACCUGAGUAAGAAGCCCCGGCUAACUACGUGCCAGCAGCCGCGGUAAUACGUAGGGGGCAAGCGUUAUCCGGAUUUACUGGGUGUAAAGGGAGCGUAGACGGCAAUGCAAGUCUGAAGUGAAAGGCGGGGGCCCAACCCCCGGACUGCUUUGGAAACUGUAUUUCUUGAGUGCUGGAGAGGCAAUCGGAAUUCCGUGUGUAGCGGUGAAAUGCGUAGAUAUACGGAGGAACACCAGUGGCGAAGGCGGAUUGCUGGACAGUAACUGACGCUGAGGCGCGAAAGCGUGGGGAGCAAACAGGAUUAGAUACCCCAGUA
rnacentral:rRNA from 1 species